ensembl:lncRNA
UUUGGGAAGUCAUCUAGCAUAUAGCAGUGGACUUUUUAACACCAAUGUUGGAGGGCUGGAAAAUUCUUGGCUUGCUGGGCAAUCUCCGUGGUUCAAAACCUGGUUAAGAAGAGGAAUGCAUUUAAAAGAUAGAUUUGAGUAGUCCAAAUAUCUUUCCAUAGUCUAUGCACUAAGGUGUGUGUGCGCCCUACUCCUUGGUGAGCCAUUAGUCCCUUACCCAGAACCUAUUAAGUUUACUUUAGACAGAAUUGUGACAAGUGAGGCUAUCUGGAUUCCCAGUCCGCACUAGACUGGAAGUUACCAAUCAGAAGAUGAGGAGAAUGUUAGUGACAGCUGUGCUAGUAACAGUAAGCAAAACAGAUUGUCAGUUAGUGAAGGGGGAGAGAGAGAAAUUACAAAAGGCAGAGAUAAUCAUUAAGUCAUGGCAUCCUACAGUCCUUUGGUGUAGCGACUGAUAGCUUUUGGACCUCCUGGGAGAAUCCCUAACACCUAGGAAGAAUAUAGAAUAGGAACUGGAUAUAUUUCCUGAAUCCACUACAACCUACUACAACAAUUACUUUUAAUAAAAUUGACACUGAAUUGUCAAGAAAAUGCUAAAUGAUGUUCAAUAAACCGCUUAAGAGAAACAUUUGCAAUACAUUGUAGAAAAAUCUUUGUAUUAUGGUUAAAAAUAAUUUUCGUAAAAAAAGUUUGACCCCCACUAAGGGGCCAAGCUCCAAUUACGCUGGUCAUCAUUGAAACGGUUUGCUUUGUAUCAAUUCUGAAUAAAUGAUGCACUAAAAAACAGCAGCCUUUACUAAUUUGCCUACAGCAGAUUUUGAAUUGUGGUAUAUGCAAAUAAUAUGGUAUUAUAUGAGGUUUGACUUUUUAAAAUGGCAACAGAUUGCAUAGUUCAAUCAGUAGGGUGAUGUAAAAUAAUUGUUUUUAAAAGUGCCAUUGUCACUAAGGAAAACAUCGGUACCAUGUGCCCGGCACUGUGCUAGGUGCUGAAUUUAUUAAGCAUUAAUUUGAAAAAUUGCUUUCACUUUCAAGACUGUGACAGUAUUCUAAAACUCUCAUUCAUAUUUUUAAAGGUUAAGUGAAAUUUGCAGUACACAAUACAGCCAUUACAUAACAGGCAUAGAAUACAGUUUCAUGACUUGGAUAGUUGUUGUUUUUUAAGCGCAUUAGCAACUCCAUUUUCAAAUGCUAUCAAAUUCUUCAGGAUAUAAAAACCUACAUGUAAGAAUGGAGUGCCUCAUCGGCUCAUUUGUCUUAUGUAAUAAGUGUUUUAACACAGGCAUGCCAUUUCAGAAUUUCGGGUGAGACUAAGCUAUACUUUAGCUUUUUUGUGUCAAGCAAAAACAAUUUCAGCAACAACAUUGGUUUCCCCUGGUAAUUUUUUUCAUGGCGAAUUACUAAAUGCUGGAUGCUCAAGUCAAAAAGAAACCUGACAUCUGGGGAGGUGUUGAGGGGGUGUUAAUAGUUCUAGGGAGAUGUUUGGGGAGCGCUGAGGAUACGAUUUUUAAAACAGCAAAUACACGGAUAAGGGGAAAUUAUGGUUUCGUAUGACUCUCUCCUCCCUCCACUUUCUCGUUUCACCAGUCUGUAGCCCCCCCAAUUUAGAGGCGGGUUCAGCGAGAUUAGGCUGCAAGAAACCAAGAGGCUCCACCGCGCUGCCGCCCC